CAGCACAGACUUGGAAGAAUCAUCCAACUAUGUGGUGGUGGAAACUGGGGCUGAGGGAAUGAACCAGCAAGGAAAAACUGAAGCACUGGAGCAGUGUGGAAGAAAUCCUGUUUCUUCUCAAGAAAUUUCUCAAGAAAAAAUGGUUGUCUGCAGUCCUCUGGAAGGAAAUGCAGUGCAAAAGGAGAGUAUUAAACCAGAGACUGGGAGGUCACUGGGCUUCUGGGAAGCACUGGAGGAGAUCUCCAACCCUACUGAACUAAAGAGCAGCAAACACCUUGAGACAGAACUGCAGGAAACCAGGG
rnacentral:lncRNA from 1 species